rnacentral:rRNA from 1 species
AAUAUUGGGCAAUGGGCGCAAGCCUGACCCAGCAACGCCGCGCGAGGGAAGAAGGUCUUCGGAUUGUAAACCCCUGUCCUUGGGGACGAAAAAAAGUACGGUACCCAAGGAGGAAGCUCCGGCGCACUACGUGCCACCACCCUCGGUACUACGUAGGGAGCGAGCGUUGUCCGGAAUUACUGGGCGUAAAGGGUCCGUAGGCGGUGUGGCAAGUCAGAUGUGAAAUCCCCGGGCUUAACUCGGGUGGUGCAUUUGAAACUGCUGAACUUGAGUGCAGGAGAGGAAAGCGGAAUUCCUAGUGUAGCGGUGAAAUGCGUAGAUAUUAGGAGGAACACCAGUGGCGAAGGCGGCUUUCCGGACUGUAACUGACGCUGAGGCACGAAAGCGUGGGGAGCAAACAGG